rnacentral:rRNA from 1 species
UACGUAGGUGGCAAGCGUUGUCCGGAUUUACUGGGCGUAAAGAGCGCGCAGGCGGUCGAUUUAGUCGUGUGUGAAAGCCCCCCGGCUCAACUGGGGAGGGUCACGCGAUACUGAUCGACUCGAAGGCAGGAGAGGGUAGUGGAAUUCCCGGUGUAGUGGUGAAAUGCGUAGAUAUCGGGAGGAACACCAGUGGCGAAGGCGACUACCUGGCCUGUUCUUGACGCUGAGGCGCGAAAAGCGUGGGGGAGCGAACAGG